CUUAUCCCUGCUUCCUCAGUAUUGCAGGCAUAGAUAACCUUUUAUUUUGCAAUGAUUCUUGGAACUAAAAACAGUCCCCCACGAUUUGGGAUUAAAAAGAAAAAAAGAAAGGAUCAUGAUACUGAACUGAAUUUUGCAACCCAAAUCCCUUCAAGCCUCUCUCACAGCUAGAGCCACUGUGUUUGUACAGUGGUAGGGCAUAAAGGCUUUGUUAAUAGGGUCAAACUCUGCCCAACAAGCAGAGUGAAAUUGGGCUUCUUGUGACCAUGAUCUGCACAAACUACAGCGCUCCAACGCAGAAGAUUUCCUAUCCACUGAGUGGUUUUUACCACAUGUACAAAAAACCUCAAUCUUAACAACUGGUGAUUUUAAGAACAUUUUUGUUUCAUACUGAGGAAUCCCACCCUCUGCCCAGUGAAUUGUUGAAAAGAAUAUUGUCUUUGUGCUAAACAAAUUGUAUUGAUUUUCUCCCUCAACAGCUGGGAUUAAAGGCUGACCCUCAUGCGUCUGACUUCCGUCUGCUUCUGAAGUUACACACCCAUUGCAAUGAAAGAUGCCAUUUGCGCCAUUAGCAAGCAUGGAGCAUCAGCAGCACAACAGAGCACGAGGUCCCAUGCACUACUUUGUUUUCACUUCAGAUGAAUCUAUGCUGGUUCCACAUGUAUGUCCAACGGAAUCUGCAGAACUCAUAUAUGGUUUUUUUUCCCACUUAGCCAGGUCUGCCUGGCUGCCAAGCAGACAUGGAAACUGUGGUCUGGAAGACACUGGAAGCUGAAAAGGUCUUCGGUGAAUGCCCCUCACUCUGCCACAUUCAAGUACCAGUGCUGACAGAGAGAUGGGAACUGUGCAGGCUCCACAGAGUGAAGGCAUACCUCAGGGAGUCUCGCGGGAAGCAAAAGGAGGCUUCUUUGUGCGCAACCAUAUCCCUGCUCCUGAGAAGCUUCACGUUGAGGCUCUGCUUUCCUACCUCGUUCAGGCGCCCUGAGGAGAGCUUGGACAACAGCAAAGAGUCUGGUUGAAGAGCACAUUGGGGAGACACAGAAGACCAUUUAAAGCAGCUGACUUUGGUCUUACAGGACAGAAAUUAAGGUUUGUGUUCAAGGAUCCAGAAGAUGGAUUUUCACGACUUCUUACUUAACAAAACUAAUCCCAGUGUGAAACUUGCAGGUGUUGAUUACAAUAUGUAUACUGACACAGUUAAGAUGCAUUUGAGACAAGGCAAGACUGUAACCCC
rnacentral:lncRNA from 1 species